UCUCCGUUGGUGAACCAGCGGGGGGAUCAUUACCGAGUUUACAACUCCCAAACCCCUAUGUGAACGUUACCAAACUGUUGCCUCGGCGGGAAAUUCAUGCCCCGGGCGCGUCGCAGCCCCGGACCAAGGCGCCCGCCGGAGGACCAACCAAAACUCUUUUGUAUGUCCCUCGCGGACUUUUAUAAUUCUGAACCAUCUCGGCGCCCCUAGCGGGCGUUUCGAAAAUGAAUCAAAACUUUCAACAACGGAUCUCUUGGUUCUG
rnacentral:misc_RNA from 1 species